rnacentral:lncRNA from 1 species
AUAAACCCGACAUCACGAGAGAAACCAACGAUCAACGAUCUCCGUACCCAGAACUCUGAUCGACAAUGGCCGCCACUGCAUCCUUGGACUCCUUCGGAAGCUUGAUACUGUUCUUCAGCUUCUCUCUCUUGCUCGCCACCGACGGCGACUCCUCUAGCAUCCUCUGAAGACCUCCGCCAGCUCUUGGAUCCACCAUCUCCGCCACAAUCUCCUUCUGAAACUAAUAAUUCACGAGAUUCUUCACUGACAGCUGAAGAUACAGAGCAAGACUGUCCACAAUCCUUCGUAAGACUAUCGUCCAGUAAGAUGCUAUCCUCAUCUUCAUAUCGAAGGCUUGCUGCAGGAGAUGAGCAUGAUACUUCCGUAGGUGAGAGAUCUUCACAAUUCCACCAAAUCCAGUCAACGAGAAGUGCUCAGGCUUUUUCCCAUCGGACAACACAGCAUAAAUGAAGUUUUGUUGUUCAGCAGUCAUCUGAGUCCAAGACGUCAUGUACUCAGGGUUACAUGUGUAAUCAGUCAGCUUCUCCAUUUCAACAAUCUCCAACACUCGCUCCACAGAGUGUUCCUUGAUCUUGGUGAUUAGAUUUCGACCAGCACGUUUGAUGGCAGAUUGGAUCUGUGGGAAGUUUUCAGAAUACUUGGCAAUGACGGAUGAGAGAACAACUUCAAUGUAGUCCCAUAUCUUCUUGAUGAACUCCACGGGCUUGACAUGUAUGGCAUCUUCGUGUUGUGAUAGUAUAGCCAAGAAGGCUGACCUGGGGAUGAAAUUGGGCAGUCCAACACACUUGCAUUCGUCAAGGAUCUUGAUCUCAUUCAUCAAGAACUCGGUCACUUCCUUUGGCUUCUCUUGCAGAUUAUCGGAGAAUUGGCUUAACAUGUCAGCCAAACGAGCAGUACAGUGCAUGUUCUGGUCAUCCGGGAAUUCAGAGAAGUCUCCUUGGACAAGGAUUCUGAAGAGGGACUCCUUGGCAGAACCAAUGAUGUCCAUCAAUGCCAUCAAUGCUUCUCCGGUAGAAGCCAUAACCAUCGGUAGCUUGUUCAACUCCAGGACAGCAGUUUCCAUCUUGUGAUUGAUCUUGCGAACGAUUUCAGGCAAACAGCGGGAAAUCAUCGUUGCUUGGAUAAGCAUUAGCUUCUGAGCUAUAACAGGGAUUCCCACGAUGUCUUCAUCAAUCAAGCUCAGCAUCGGGUGAGUCCUGAAGAGCAACUCUUCUUGCAUUCUAGCUUGUUCAUACGCUCUUCUCCAAUGCGGUUUCUGACACAGACGUAACCUAGACCAAUACUCACAUCAUCCGCAGUUACUUUCUGUAGGAGACCUUCGGGAGCCAUGUCUGCCUUGGUGACAACGGCCAGAGUCCGUUCACAUACGGAUGGAUUCACAGGUGGUGAAGUCGACUGUAGCUGACAGAACAUUGAGGAUUAUUGAUUCUUGUGGCUCGAUGUACUUCAUGAUCAUCCCAGAAAUCUGUUCGUAAAUAUUCUCCGGUUGUCCAUUCACUGGCCUCGAGUUAUACCGGGAAGAUCGACCAUGGUAAGAUAUGGGACCCCAGCCUUCUUAACAUGGAGGGUCAAUGGAGCGUCUGAGACCCCUUUGCCAGAUCCUGCAGUAUAGCUAAACACACUUAAUACCAAGAUAGAGAGUGAACUUACCAGCAAUCACAUCUGUUGCAGCACAGAUAGCUUCAGCGAUGUGCUCCUCAUCCGUGGGAACAAUCUUGUCACUGUACUCAAGCCAUAUCUCAGGUACAGGGCUAGAGCUUCGCUGAAGUCGCAUGACAAGAGGAACCCUAGUGCAGAUUCCUUGGCCACGAGGUAGACUGAUUCCUGCCAACGAGUCGAGGACACUUGACUUCCCCGAGGACUGGUCUCCAACCACGACAAUGGUGGGAAGCUGAAUGCCUUCUCUCAUCACAUUGAGGUUCCUUAGACGGUCAACCGUGUCAAGCAACGGCCUAAUCCUAUCGUUAUAUGAAGAUAUAAUCGGUGCUUCGAUGGGAACAACUUCUCUGUUGUCAUGAGGAUUCGCCUGGACAAUUGCAAGAGAAGGAGAAGAGGUUCUAGUGACAACAUGCUUCUUACUACCUCCCAUUUGUGUUCUUUUAGAGAUAAGACAAGAGUAGAAGAUAUAAAAGACAGAAAAGAGAAGUUCUAUGGGUAAGUGAGAUUCUUCUUAGAGAUAUGCAAAGAUAUAUAUAGAGAUAUUAGAAGGGCUUUGUGUAUACGAAGAAUUUACGAAGCAAGUAAAUUGCAUGAAAGGAUGCAAGUAGCGUGCAUGUUGGAAUUGAAAAAAGCUAAUUAAGUCAGUAAUUGCACCUAUAUCUAGCUCGUAGUUGAAACUAAAACGUCUCUCUUAAGAUGUGUAUUUGAAUAUUUUAUUGGUUCCAAUUGGCUGAAUUCUUUUGUGGUGAAGUUUGGAAUUUUGACUAAAG